UACGGAGGGUGCGAGCGUUGUCCGGAAUCAUUGGGCGUAAAGGGCGCGUAGGUGGCUUCUCAAGCGUGCGGUGAAAGCCUGGGGCUCAACCCCGGGUCGGCCGUGCGAACUGGGGGGGCUUGAGCACUGUAGAGGCAGGCGGAAUUCCGGGUGUAGCGGUGGAAUGCGUAGAGAUCCGGCAAGAACGACCGGUGGCGAAGGCGGCCUGCUGGGCAGUUUAGCUGACACUGAGGCGCGACAGCGUGGGGAGCAAACAGG
rnacentral:rRNA from 1 species